rnacentral:rRNA from 1 species
AGAGUUUGAUCCUGGCUCAGAGCGAACGCUGGCGGCGUGCUUAACACAUGCAAGUCGAACGCGCAGCAUUCUGUAGCAAUACAGGGUGUGGGCGCGUGGCGAACGGGUGCGUAACACGUGGAUAACCUUCCUUCAGGUGGGGAAUAACCCAGUGAAAAUUGGGCUAAUACCGCAUAACAUGACGAUGCCACAUGGUGUUGUCUUCAAAGCCGCAAGGCGCCAGAAGAGGGAUCCGCGGCCGAUUAGCUUGUUGGCGAGGUAAUGGCUCACCAAGGCUUUGAUCGGUAGCCGGACUGAGAGGUUGGCCGGCCACACUGGAACUGAGACACGGUCCAGACUCCUACGGGAGGCAGCAGUGGGGAAUCUUGCACAAUGGACGAAAGUCUGAUGCAGCAACGCCGCGUGGGGGAUGAAGCUUUUCGGAGUGUAAACCCCUUUCG